UCGAGAAUCUUCCGCAAUGGGCGCAAGCCUGACGGAGCGACGCCGCGUGCGGGAUUAAGGCCUUCGGGUUGUAAACCGCUGUCAGAGAGGCGGAAAUGCAUAGGGGUUCUCUCCUAUGUUUGACCUAAUCUCAGAGGAAGUGCAGGCUAAGUUCGUGCCAGCAGCCGCGGUAAUACGAACUGCACAAACGUUAUUCGGAAUCACUGGGCUUAAAGAGUCCGUAGGCGGCCUGGAAGGUGAGGUGUGAAAUCCCACAGCCCAACUGUGGAACUGCGCUUCAAACCGUCAGGCUUGAGGGAGACAGGGGUGAGCGGAACAGAUGGUGGAGCGGUGAAAUGCGUUGAUAUCAUCUGGAACACCGGUGGCGAAGGCGGCUCACUGGGUCUCUUCUGACGCUGAGGGACGAAAGCUAGGGGAGCGAACGGGAUUAGAUACCCCGGUAGUCC
rnacentral:rRNA from 1 species